rnacentral:lncRNA from 1 species
CGGAACAGAACAUGGAAGACGCGACACUGCGACAGAGUAUUCGCAAGAAAGGAGAGAAGCUUCUUUUAAGAUAAGACGGCGACACCCAUGUCGACAGGGUAUAGCACUCGCAUCACGUCAAAAGAGCGGAAAAAAGUUAAGCGUCGGAACGUUUUAUCCCUAGAGACAAGGGUGAUCACGGCUGCGUCAGCACUAGCACGGAGAUUUUCCAUUGUCUACUGUAGACUCGAUCGAUCUUGGCACACGUAGUAUUAGGCACCAUGGAUCGGACCAAUCACGAAAUUUAGGUUGUCAUCAUGUAGUAAUGCGAUCAGGGAUAACACACAAAUUUAAUUAGGUCAGCGUACAAUCAUUUAAUAAAUUGCAAGAUCGCGGGAUGACUCCAAAAGCUGAAUGGAAAGAUCUGAAGAUCGACCAUGACGACGGUUCUGUGAACUACCUUGACCUUGAUCGGCAUGACAACGCCAAGUGCUCCUGCACGUCCAUCCAGUCUAAUUCUAAUUACCAUAGUAGUAUGUAUGUAUAUUAACAAUUCAUAACUUUCAUAGAAAAGCACUGAAAUGCAAUAAUAACAAUAUUAGUAAUCUAGCAAUUAGCACAUACGUUAUGUUCUCGUGUCUCCGAAGCACAGCGAAACGCAAGGUGUUCGCUGGUCCUAUAUUUCGAGCACGAGGCAUCUGAUUAGUACUCAGCAUGGAUGCUAAUAUUCUAUCAACCCCAACGAUUUAGCUUAAAAGAAAUUGAGAACCUUGUUUGCCAAACAAAAACUUGGUUGAAACAGGAACACACUGAAUAGCAAGUUUAACACACAUAUUUAACCAUUCCCAAAUUAGUUAUAGCGAAAGCAGAAGUAGCAGCGUUCGUUUCUUCGGUCCAUUUUAAUCCUGAACCUUCAUCGGGGUUCUUAGUCUUCGGGUUAAUAUUCCGCUGACGACCGAGUACGCCGUGGUCAGACAAAAGUGGCCAAUUUGAAGUUUUCAACCUUCUUUUUAAUUUUUAAAGCCGUUAUGGAGAAUUCUGCGUAUGGACAGACAGAAAAAAUAAUAUCCAGGGAGCUG